rnacentral:rRNA from 1 species
UGAGGAAUAUUGGUCAAUGGGCGAGAGCCUGAACCAGCCAAGUAGCGUGCAGGAUGACGGCCCUAUGGGUUGUAAACUGCUUUUAUAUGGGAAUAAAGUGAGGGACGUGUCCCUUAUUGCAUGUACCAUACGAAUAAGGCCCGGCUAAUUCCUUGCCAGCAGCCGCGGUAAUACGGAAGGUCCAGGCGUUAUCCGGAUUUAUUGGGUUUAAAGGGAGCGUAGGCUGUUUGUUAAGCGUGUUGUGAAAUGUAAGAGCUCAACUUUUAGAUUGCAGCGCGAACUGGCAGACUUGAGUGCGCACAACGUAGGCGGAAUUCAUGGUGUAGCGGUGAAAUGCUUAGAUAUCAUGACGAACUCCGAUUGCGAAGGCAGCUUACGGGAGCGCAACUGACGCUAAAGCUCGAAGGUGCGGGUAUCGAACAGG